UAACAGAUGAUCUGUUUCACA
rnacentral:piRNA from 1 species